rnacentral:rRNA from 1 species
GAUGAACGCUGGCGGCGUGCCUAAUACAUGCAAGUCGAACGCUGAAGGAAGGAGCUUGCUCUUUCCGGGUGAGUCGCGCACGGGUGAGUAACGCGUAGGUAACCUGCCUGGUAGCGGGGGAUAACUAUUGGAAACGAGAGCUAAUACGGCAUAACAGUAGAUGUUGCAUGACAACUAUGUGAAAGGGGCAAUUGCUCCACUACCACAUGGACCUGCGGUGUAUUGGCUUGGUGGUGGGGUAACGGCGCACCGAGGCGAGGUAACGUAGCCGCCCUGAGAGGGUGGGUGGCCACACUGGGAGUGAGACCGGGCCCAGAGGCACUGGGGUAGCAGCCAGAGGGCAUCUGGGGGCAGGGGUGGGAGACUGACCGAGAAACGCCGAGGGAGGGAAGAAGGUUGUCGGGUCGUAAAGCUCGGUUGUAAGAGAAGAACGAGUGUGAGAGUGGAAAGUUCACACUGUGACGGUAACUUACCAGAAAGCGACGGCUAACUACGUG